ACAUUGACUCGUUUAGUUGUUCAUGUGGUACACGUAGGUCUUAACUGAAGCUAACGCUUAGACCAACAAUCCAUUGGAACACAUAGUAGCUAGCUAGCCUCGCUGCUAAGAAGUCUAAUGUUAGCAUGCUAAUAUGAAUAGACCCAUUAUAGUCAGGUGGCUUAAUGCUCAAUUGACUUGUUAACCGAACUUUUACGAAGUCAUACAACUAAACACACAAGUGACUUGUUAACUGAACUUUUACGAAGCUAUAUGACCAAACACAAAGCUAGCACUGUUAAUUCCGCUAUAGCUAGCCAGGUCAAUUAGCUCGCCUAAGAUACUGCAAUUUAAGCUAACCAAUUACCUAAUUUCCCCCAAAACCCAUCGAUUACAUGUGUUUGUGAUGUGUAACAUAUAUCCUUAAUCAGUCAUUCAAGUUAUUAACGUUUAUUUACCGCUAGCGAUUACACGACACAAGGGUAAUUCAAUCGCUAUUAAUGUUGAACUUGAACUUCAACAACGUCACACAAUAUUAAGAGUCAGGCAUCGGCAUGGUUCCUACAGAAUAAAUCAAAGGUCCUUGUCCAUUUCUGCUGAAAAGCUUUAUCCAACCAGAGACCGGCUUAAAGCGACGACAUCCGGUUUUAAUACACUUUCCCUGAUCAUACAGUUUUCCUACCGACAACACCAACUGCCGGCCCACACUGACCCGACUGUUGGAGAAUGUUGGCGUUUGUCGGGGCAGUGUGCAAGCUGCUUAACACUCACCUGUUCAGAGUGGACGGCUGGCCAAAUGGGUUAGAAUUAUGGCGUCUAACGAAAUUGAUGUCUGAGAUCACACGUUAAGAACGUGUUGUACACGUGAUGAGAAUGUGUUUUGACAUGUAAACAACACGUGUGGUCACCCUAAGUAUACGUCAACAUCAGUAACAAUGUCACCAUAAUUCUUGUCACUCAGAUUUUUGGUGUACAAUCUAAAAGCCUACAGGACCCCAACACUGUCAGAGCCGCUCUGACAGCACUUGUAUAGCCU
rnacentral:lncRNA from 1 species